rnacentral:rRNA from 1 species
CACGUAGGGUGCAAGCGUUGUCCGGAAUCAUUGGGCGUAAAGAGCUCGUAGGCGGCCGACCGCGUCGGUUGUGAAAGCUCAGGGCUCAACCCUGAGACGCCAAUCGAUACGGAUCGGCUAGAGGUAGGUAGGGGAAAGUGGAAUUCCUGGUGUAGCGGUGAAAUGCGCAGAUAUCAGGAGGAACACCGGUGGCGAAGGCGGUGGUCUGGGGCCGGCACUGACGCUGAGGAGCGAAAGCGUGGGGGAGCGAACAGG